GUGCUUGCUUCAGCAGUACAUAUACUAAAAUUGGACCGAUACAGAGAAGAUUAGCAUGGCCCCUGCACAAAGAUGGCAUGCAGAUUCAUGAAGGGUCCCACAUUUUU
ensembl:snRNA U6 U6 spliceosomal RNA